rnacentral:misc_RNA from 1 species
GAUGAAGAACGUAGCGAAAUGCGAUAAGUAAUGUGAAUUGCAGAAUUCAGUGAAUCAUCGAAUCUUUGAACGCGCAUUGCGCCCGCCAGUAUUCUGGCGGGCAUGCCUGUCUGAGCGUCAUUUCAACCCUCAAGCAACUUCUGCUAGGUGUUGGGGAUCGGCCGUCAAACGCCGCCCCCGAAAUCUAUUGGCGAUCUCGCUGUAGCUUCCUAUGCGUAGUAGUAACAUCUCGCAUCUGGAGAGCGGCGCGGUCAUGCCGUAAAACACCCAACUUCUCAGGUUGACCUCAGAUCAGGUAGGAAUACCCGCUGAACUUAAGCAUAUCAAUAAGCGGAGGA